AAUGAACGCUGGCGGCAGGCCUAACACAUGCAAGUCGAGCGAGCGGCGGACGGGUGAGUAAUGUACGGGAAACUGACCGAUGGAGGGGGAGAACAACUGGAAACGGUAGAUAAUACCACAUACAAUCAGAUGAGCACAGGUGGGAUUAGCUAGUAGGUGGGGGAACGGCGCACCUAGGCGACGAUCCCUAGCUUGGCUGUGAGGAUGACCAGCCACACUGGAACUGAGACACGGCCCAGACUCCCACGGUACGCAGCAGUGGGGAAUAUUGCACAAGGGGCUCGAGCCUGAUGCAGCCAUGCCGCGUGUGUGAAGAAGUCCUUCGUGUUUUAAUGCUCUUUCAGCGGGGAGGCGUUACCCGCAGAGGAAGCACCGGCUAACUCCGUGCCAGCAGCCGCGGUAAUUC
rnacentral:rRNA from 1 species